CCCUUAGAUGUUCUGGGCCGCACGCGCGCUACACUGAUACGUUCAACGAGUCCAAAACCUUGAUUGAUAGGUCUGGGUAAUCUUUUGAAGACGUAUCGUGCUAGGGAUAGAUUAUUGCAAUUAUUAAUCUUGAACGAGGAAUUCCUAGUAAACGCAAGUCAUCAGCUUGCAUUGAUUACGUCCCUGCCCUUUGUACACACCGCCCGUCGCACCUACCGAUUGAAUGACUCGGUGAAAAAUUGGCACUGUGAUUGAAAUUGCUUCAUUGCGAAUUUAAUUAUGGAAACUUUCUUUAACCUAGGCAUUUAGAGGAAGGUGAAGUCGUAACA
rnacentral:rRNA from 1 species